rnacentral:rRNA from 1 species
GAUGAACGCUGGCGGCGUGCCUAAUACAUGCAAGUCGAGCGAACAGACGAGGAGCUUGCUCCUCUGACGUUAGCGGCGGACGGGUGAGUAACACGUGGAUAACCUACCUAUAAGACUGGGAUAACUUCGGGAAACCGGAGCUAAUACCGGAUAACAUGUUGAACCGCAUGGUUCAACAGUGAAAGACGGUCUUGCUGUCACUUAUAGAUGGAUCCGCGCCGCAUUAGCUAGUUGGUAAGGUAACGGCUUACCAAGGCAACGAUGCGUAGCCGACCGGAGAGGGUGAUCGGCCACACUGGAACUGAGACACGGUCCAGACUCCUACGGGAGGCAGCAGUAGGGAAUCUUCCGCAAUGGGCGAAAGCCUGACGGAGCAACGCCGCGUGAGUGAUGAAGGUCUUCGGAUCGUAAAACUCUGUUAUUAGGGAAGAACAAAUGUGUAAGUAACUAUGCACGUCUUGACGGUACCUAAUCAGAAAGCCACGGCUAACUACGUG